ACUCAAAUGAAUUGACGGGGACCCGCACAAGCGGUGGAGCAUGUGGUUUAAUUCGACGUUAAGCGAGGAACCUUACCAAGAUUUGACAUGUAUACGUUCUAUUUCUAGGAAACUAGAGAAAGGCGCAAGCAGGUAUACACAGGUGUUGCACGGUUGUCGUCAGCUCGUGCCGUGAGGUGUUCACUUAAGUGUGAAAACGAGCGCAACCCCUAUCAUGAGUUACAAGUGUCUCAUGAAACUGCCGGCGUUUAAGCCGGAGGAAGGUGGGGAUGACGUCAAAUCAGCGUGGCCCUUACAUCUUGGGCGACACACGUGCUACAAUGGGAAAGUACAAAGGGACGCCAAAGCGCAAGCUGGAGCAAAUCCUGAUAAAAUUUCCCUCAGUUCGGAUUGGGGGCUGCAACUCGCCCCCAUGAAGCUGGAAUCGCUAGUAACCGUAGAUCAGCCUCGCUACGGUGAAUACGUUCUCGGGUUUUGUACACACCGCCCGU
rnacentral:rRNA from 1 species